AUGCAAUGGGCCCUUCCUUGGCUCUCUGGUCCCAGCAGCGUGCUGGAAGAGGUCCUGCCACCGUGGUAUUUUUGGGUACAGUGCAGCUCCUUCACACACCGUCACCGUGAAGCAAACCACACACUUUUCAGGGUUUCAGAAGUGCUCAGCACACCGAGGCAGCAGCCCUCAGCAUCUUGCCUGCCCCAUACCACAGGUGCCUGGAGCAACAAGUGCAACCUGGCCCCGGAGCCGCUCAGGGUGUCCCCGAGCAUCUGCUCUCCUUGCUCUCCCUUCUAUGCCAUGGAAAAACCUCUCCUUCAAAGAGGACAGAAGAAGGAUGCAGCCAGCAGCUGGCAACCCCCCAGAACAUGCUGGUACAUAAAACCUGCCCGGCUCCACACGUUCCCCAGCUGUUUGCCUGAAGACAGCACGCGGCGAGGUCGAGCUGCCUGCCGUGGGUGGGCUGGGAGGAGGAUCCAGCAGGCGAGAAAAACAAAAUCAGGAUCAGAGCCUGAAGAUGUCUUUUUUUUUUUUCUUCCCCCACCUCCUUGGCAUGGCGGGCUGUUGCCCCUAUCAUCUCUCCGCAGCUGGCUUGUGCUGAGCAGCUGUCGCUGUGCACCCGGCGUGCUGGGUUUGUGACUGGCCUGGGUCUUUUCGGGCUGGGACAAUACCAGGUCGAGCACACGAGCAUGUGGCUGCCUUUCAGGCAAGCUCUUCUGUGCAGUUCUCCAGCAAAGAGAUUUCCCUUUAUUAAAGGAAGUUACUAGAGUGUCCAGAGCCGCGAAGCAUGGAUUUAAAAUCAUCUAUGAGUUUUGAAAUUGAGAUUAAGUCGUCCUGCUUCAGGGCACAAGAUAAACUCUAAAGGAGGGGACAAGAUGGAUUUUUUUUCCUUUGAGCAGAUUAGGCUAUAACUUCCAGAAGGGGUUUUGAUUUGAUAGGUGUGCUUUACCAUCUUUGCCUGCAGCAGCAGUUACUGUGGACUAAAUGAGACAGGCUGACCAAGGGAUGUCCCAAAUAUCCACUCUCUGCUGCAUAUGCUAAAAGCAAAGGAAAGAGCGUGGACAUGGUUCAUUCAUUGCAGUGGUGUGCCAGGAUCCAGGUAUGGAUGCAGCAUGUGACGGGGAUGGGAUCCUUUUGAGGACUGUUUUUAUGAGGGGUGGACCCCCUCUCCCUCCUACCACUGCAUCUCUCCUGGUCCCAGGCACCCAGCAGAGCUCCGGGGCUGAUCCCAGAGCAGCCUCCUGCCUGCUUCUGCUGCAGAGGCUCAGGGCAAGAGAGAGAAAGCCUUGUGUUGUGGUGAAACAGCACAGACACCCAGCCAUCGAGGAGGACCAGACUGUAGUGUUGUGAUCGGUGUGGGAAACCUGCCCUUCUCCAAGCCCGGCUGUUCCUGCAUUCCCGUUUUAUAGCAGGGCCAAAGAUGGCCUGUUCUCAAGGCACUUUUCAAAGGCACUUCAGUAAUUCUCAUUAUCCUCAGCGCAAAGACCACGGGCCAGAUUUCAGCAGCACUUGGCUCCUUUUCAGGCCAAAAAUUCAGUCUUCUGUUGAUGCUUUCUUUCAGCUGAAGGAAGAAGGAGGUUGAGUUUUGCUUGGAUUGUCCCUGGCAAAAAGAGAAAGCGCCCACGCGCUCCAUGUGCUUUGCAGGCUGAUCCAAGGCCCGGCGGAUACGUUCCCUUUGACUUCAACGCCGUUUGAAUUUCGGCCUGCAGUACAACAUGAUAUCACCCGUGCACUGAAUGGCUUGUGCCGCUGCCGGCUCAAAAUUGCAAUGACCUAAUGGUACUGAGAGUUUCUGUGAUCUAUCUCAUUUGCUUCCCUCCCCAGAAGAUGGUGUGUUUGAUGAGCUGUGCCUGCUGCCUGGACCUGGGAGAAGAGGCAAGCGCAGACAGAACCCCACCAGGGUCCUUCUGGGCUGCUGAAACGCAUCCUGCUGUAGGAUGGAGAGCAACACAGCAUCAUCCACACAAACCCUUGCCCUUCACAGCAUGUGGUUGUCCUCAGGCAACUUGGAAAGCAAAUUUUUUCCACCAGCUCAACAGUUGGAGAUGUUUUCUCCCUCCUUCAAACCUGAGCUGCAGCUCGGUUGCUGCAGUGAAUGACAAAAUGGAGCAGCUGCUUUGUGGCCAGGGUGCCCGUUUCUUGCAGCGUUGCUCCGAACGAGUCGAUGACGUUGGAUAACACAGGAAAGAUUUUGUCAAGGGCGGCGGUAAGGACAGCAGCUGCCUUGGUGUUCUUGGCUUCGCCAGCUCAGCUCACUCCAGGUUUGUUGUUGCAGUUUGUUCCAGCAGUCCCCAGGCACGUUGAAUUCUUGCAGGCUGGAUCUUUCUGCCUGAAGUGAUCUUAUUUUGGCAGAGCGGCUUCCUUGGGAGCUGGAGCUGGCAGACUGGAUCGUGUGUGCCACCCAUGCUGCAUUUUCAGUGGUGUGGGAGCUGGGUUUAGAUGGGCACGGAGCUGGUUUCCCAUUCAUGGCAAGCAGGCCUGGGCUGCCAGGCUGAUUCUUGCCUCGAGCCCGUCUGUCUCUUUGUUAACUUCCAGCAAAGUUAUUCUUGGGCUGCGCUGCUCUGAGGUGAUGAAAAAUAGACCCUCCUGGGCAUGAAAGUGUUUUCAGUUUAGAGCGUGUGGAAGUCUUGCCAAGGAUGACAAAAGCAAAGACCCCAAGCAAAGAAAUGCCUCGCUUGUGCGUCUUCCAGGGAGAAGAUGAGAUUUCCAUUUGGGAUCCAAACUGGAGCUGGGCGCUGUGCUGAAAGGUGUGUGCUGGCACAGAGCACGUGAGGAUGCAGACUGUGGGUACCAGGGACACCAAAUGCAGCUACAUGGGGCAGGGGCAUCCCAUCUAACACCCUGCUGAGCCCCAGUUUCAUUCCUCGGUCGCAGGGAUUGCAGCUGUUGGAGCAAGUGAUGUUCCCUGCGAGGUCUGCGAAGAGCAGCCUUUAACGUGGCUUCCCCAGCCUGUUGUGCUGCCCCGUGAAUAUCCAAGAGUCUGUAAUGCCUCAGCAGCCUCCCCCUGCCUCAGUUUACCCUCCCCUUGGUCUAAUUAGCUAAAAAGUACUCAAAUAAAGCCCUCCUAUUGACUUUGCCA
rnacentral:lncRNA from 1 species